UACGUAGGGGGCGAGCGUUGUCCGGAGUUACUGGGCGUAAAGCGCACGCAGGCGGUCUGCUAAGUUUGGAGUGACAGUUGGUGGCUUAACUGCCAAAGUGCUUCGAAAACUGGCAGACUUGAGGGCUUCAGAGGGACACGGAAUUCCGGGUGGAGUGGUGAAAUGCGUAGAGAUCGGAAGGAACACCAGUGGCGAAAGCGGCUUCCUGGUCCAGCACCGACGUUCAGGCACGAAAGCGUGGGGAGCAAACAGG
rnacentral:rRNA from 1 species